AACCUCCGCAAUGUGAGAAAUCGCGACGGGGGGAUCCCAAGUGCCAUUCUUAACGGGAUGGCUUUUCAUUAGUGUAAAGAGCUUUUGGAAUAAGGGCUGGGCAAGACCGGUGCCAGCCGCCGCGGUAACACCGGCAGCUCUAGUGGUAGCAGUUUUUAUUGGGCCUAAAGCGUCCGUAGCCGGUUUAAUAAGUCUCUGGCGAAAUCCUGUAGCUUAACUGUGGGAAUUGCUGGAGAUACUAUUAGACUUGAGACCGGGAGAGGUUAGAGGUACUCCCAGGGUAGAGGUGAGAUUCUGUAAUCCUGGGAGGACCGCCUGUUGCGAAGGCGUCUAACUGGAACGGUUCUGACGGUGAGGGACGAAAGUUAGGGGCGCGAACCGGAUUAGAUACCCGGGUAGUCCUAACCGUAAACGAUGCGGACUUGGUGUUGGGGUGGCUUUGAGCUGCUCCAGUGCCGAAGGGAAGCUGUUAAGUCCGCCGCCUGGGAAGUACGGUCGCAAGACUGAAACUUAAAGGAAUU
rnacentral:rRNA from 1 species